GACGAACGCUGGCGGCGUGCUUAACACAUGCAAGUCGAGCGGUAAGGCCCUUUCGGGGGUACACGAGCGGCGAACGGGUGAGUAACACGUGGGUGACCUGCCCUCAGCUCUGGGAUAAGCCUGGGAAACCGGGUCUAAUACCGGAUAUGACUCCAUGACGCAUGUUGUGGGGUGGAAAGCCUUGUGCGGCUGAGGAUGGGCCCGCGGCCUAUCAGCUUGUUGGUGGGGUGANGGCCUACCAAGGCGACGACGGGUAGCCGGCCUGAGAGGGCAACCGGCCACACUGGGACUGAGACACGGCCCAGACUCCUACGGGAGGCAGCAGUGGGGAAUCUUGCGCAAUGGGCGAAAGCCUGACGCAGCGACGCCGCGUGAGGGAUGACGGCCUCGGUG
rnacentral:rRNA from 1 species